UGAGGAAUUUUCCGCAAUGGGCGAAAGCCUGACGGAGCAAUGCCGCGUGGAGGAUGAAAGCCUAUGGGUUGUAAACUCCUUUUCUCAGAGAAGAAAUUUUGACGGUAUCUGAGGAAUAAGCAUCGGCUAACUCCGUGCCAGCAGCCGCGGUAAUACGGGGGAUGCAAGUGUUAUCCGGAAUAAUUGGGCGUAAAGCGUCUGUAGGUGGUUGACCAAGUCUGUUGUUAAAAAUCAGGGCUUAACCCUGAUCCGGCAACAGAAACUAGUAAACUUGAGUACGGUAGGGGCAGAGGGAAUUCUCGGUGUAGUGGUGAAAUACGUAGAUAUCGAGAAGAACACCAAUAGCGAAAGCACUCUGCUGGGCCGAAACUGACAUUGAGAGACGAAAGCUAGGGGAGCAAAAGG
rnacentral:rRNA from 1 species